rnacentral:rRNA from 1 species
AGUGAACGCUGGCGGUAGGCCUAACACAUGCAAGUCGAACGGCAGCACAGUAAGAGCUUGCUCUUACGGGUGGCGAGUGGCGGACGGGUGAGGAAUACAUCGGAAUCUACUUUUUCGUGGGGGAUAACGUAGGGAAACUUACGCUAAUACCGCAUACGACCUACGGGUGAAAGCAGGGGAUCUUCGGACCUUGCGCGAUUGAAUGAGCCGAUGUCGGAUUAGAUAGUUGGCGGGGUAAAGGCCCACCAAGGCGACGAUCCGUAGCUGGUCUGAGAGGAUGAUCGGCCACACUGGAACUGAGACACGGUCAAGACUCCUACGGGAGGCAGCAGUGGGGAAUAUUGGACAAUGGGGGCAAGCAUGAUCCAGCCAUCGCGCGUGGGUGAAGAAGGCCUUCGGGUUGUAAAGCCCUUUUGUUGGGAAAAAAAAGCAGCAGGUUAAUACCCCGCUGUUCUGACGGUACCCAAAGAAUAAGCACCGGCUAACUUCGUG